rnacentral:rRNA from 1 species
CCUACGGGUGGCUGCAGUGGGGAAUAUUGGACAAUGGGCGAAAGCCUGAUCCAGCCAUGCCGCGUGUGUGAAGAAGGCCUUCGGGUUGUAAAGCACUUUCAGUGGGGAAGAAAGCCUUGGGGCUAAUACCCUCGAGGAAGGACAUCACCCACAGAAGAAGCACCGGCUAACUCCGUGCCAGCAGCCGCGGUAAUACGGAGGGUGCGAGCGUUAAUCGGAAUUACUGGGCGUAAAGCGCGCGUAGGCGGUCUGAUAAGCCGGUUGUGAAAGCCCCGGGCUCAACCUGGGAACGGCAUCCGGAACUGUCAGGCUAGAGUGCAGGAGAGGAAGGUAGGAUUCCCGGUGUAGCGGUGAAAUGCGUAGAGAUCGGGAGGAAUACCAGUGGCGAAGGCGGCCUUCUGGACUGACACUGACGCUGAGGUGCGAAAGCGUGGGUAGCAAACAGGAUUAGAUACCCGGGUAGUC